ACUUCCAGGGGAGCGGCGCGGCGGCGCGGGAGUUGGCUCUGAAGAGUGGCGAGUCAGAAGAGACAUCAGGCAGCCAGCAACUUGGGCCAUGGCCUCUGACCUAGACUUCUCACCUCCGGAGGUGCCCGAGCCCACUUUCCUGGAGAACUUGCUACGGUACGGACUCUUCCUGGGAGCCAUCUUCCAGCUCAUCUGUGUGCUGGCCAUCAUCGUACCCAUUCCCAAGUCCCACGAGGCGCACACUGCAAGUUAUCACUCAGAGGAGGAGAGGACACUAGACAGGAGCACACGGAGCCUGUUCCAGAUUCUUCUCUGACAUGAGCCUGAGUGGCCUGGGCCAAGCUGUGUCCCUUCGCUGGAGUCUACCUUCCUUAUCAGCACAGUAAAGGCCAGGGCUGGAUCUGUGGGUUUGAACCUUUUAUUCCUUAGCAGCAGAACUUUGUUUCAUUUAAAUCUUACAAGGGACAGAUCACAGUGUAUGAAAUAGAUUGAAAAUCAGAGCUGCUCCUGUCGCCAGGGGAGUCUGGAAUUCUGCCCCAAGGCUCUCUGCCCUCCCCCACAGAGGCACCUCUGCCAGGCUCCGCAGAACACAGUGUGGAACUGCGUACCUGCUGGCGGGCCCUCUGUACCCCUCCCAGCCCUGGCAUUCUGUGGGUUGAAUGGGAGGACAAGAAUGGCAGCCAGAGGAGGGCAAGCCACAGCGAGUCUGCCCCACAGCCAGCUCCUCGCCCACAUUUUGUCCAGUCCCUGACACAGGAUGAUCGGCCAGCCACUGGAUGCAGCUGGCACUUCCUGGCUGCUUUCCACGUAGUUUUGCCUCCUCACAUCAGUCCUGUAAGGCGGGCGUGGCUAUUUCCAUUUCACAGGAGGCCGAACCGUCUGAGCCCAGAAGUGCUGAGGUGACGAGGAAGCCCAAGGCUGCUGUUCCUUCUGUGAACAAGAGGCCCAAGAAAGAGACUAAGAAGAAGCGGUAGAAGAGGAGGCCCGAGGAGCCGGGCAGGCAGGGAGAGGGUCUUGGGGACAGCCCUCCUGGGAAUCUACAUCCUGUUCCCCCCCAUCCCAGGCUCGGGAUCUGAGGAGGCUGUGACGCCCUCGGACCACAGAGAUCUAGACAGUCAUGACAGUCCCUAGGCUCCAGCUCGGCAAUCCAUCACUUCCUCUUCCUUCUGCUUCUGUGACGGUUUAGAGUCAAGGGGACUGAAACUGUGAGCAUAGACUGUAUUAGGUUUGUUCAGAAGCCAGUUCAGCUCACAGAGUCACAUUUUCUUAAUUAGUCAUGUGUCCAUCCUUGAGUCGCCCCCUCCUUGUGGGUUUACACUACAUUUUGGCGUCAUUAUCUAACGCUGACAAGCACACCCUCUCCCCUUAUUUGUGCACUGCAAAUCUCCUGCUAAUCAGUCACUUUUGUUGCUGCUGUGUAGACAGAGCCAGGCCUCACCUGUUUGUUUAGGCCAAGAUGCCAUGGCCACGCAAUGUUAGUGAUCCCACUGGCUGCGACAGCCAGGCCCAGAAAAUGCCUGGCGUGAGAGCCAGCAGACGGCCAGGCCAGGGUAGGCAGUGCCUGCUUCUGCUCCGUCAGGUGCAGGGUAUUUGGCUGAAGGUGUGCAUAUUUCCUGGGCACAAACUUCCUGAGCCUCCGAAAUGGGAGGCUCAUCAAUUUCAGACCAACCUCUUUUCAACCCAUCAUAGCACAUUCAAGGUGUGCCUUUUACUUCUACUUGUACAUCCCCCAUCCCUUCAAUUCUUUAAUUCCCUGACCAGUGAGCGAGUUCCUGGGGGAAGUGUGAAUAAACUGACAUGCAAGCUUCA
ensembl:lncRNA MANBAL mannosidase beta like